UUAAGCGACUAAGCGUACACGGUGGAUGCCCUGGCAGUCAGAGGCGAUGAAGGACGUGCUAAUCUGCGAUAAGCGUCGGUAAGGUGAUAUGAACCGUUAUAACCGGCGAUUUCCGAAUGGGGAAACCCAGUGUGAUUCGUCACACUAUCAUUAACUGAAUCCAUAGGUUAAUGAGGCGAACCGGGGGAACUGAAACAUCUAAGUACCCCGAGGAAAAGAAAUCAACCGAGAUUCCCCCAGUAGCGGCGAGCGAACGGGGAGGAGCCCAGAGCCUGAAUCAGUGUGUGUGUUAGUGGAAGCGUCUGGAAAGGCGCGCGAUACAGGGUGACAGCCCCGUACACAAAAAUGCACAUACUGUGAGCUCGAUGAGUAGGGCGGGACACGUGGUAUCCUGUCUGAAUAUGGGGGACCAUCCUCCAAGGCUAAAUACUCCUGACUGACCGAUAGUGAACCAGUACCGUGAGGGAAAGGCGAAAAGAACCCCGGCGAGGGGAGUGAAAAAGAACCUGAAACCGUGUACGUACAAGCAGUGGGAGCACGCUUCGGCGUGUGACUGCGUACCUUUUGUAUAAUGGGUCAGCGACUUAUAUUCUGUAGCAAGGUUAACCGAAUAGGGGAGCCGAAGGGAAACCGAGUCUUAACUGGGCGUUAAGUUGCAGGGUAUAGACCCGAAACCCGGUGAUCUAGCCAUGGGCAGGUUGAAGGUUGGGUAACACUAACUGGAGGACCGAACCGACUAAUGUUGAAAAAUUAGCGGAUGACUUGUGGCUGGGGGUGAAAGGCCAAUCAAACCGGGAGAUAGCUGGUUCUCCCCGAAAGCUAUUUAGGUAGCGCCUCGUGAAUUCAUCUCCGGGGGUAGAGCACUGUUUCGGCAAGGGGGUCAUCCCGACUUACCAACCCGAUGCAAACUGCGAAUACCGGAGAAUGUUAUCACGGGAGACACACGGCGGGUGCUAACGUCCGUCGUGAAGAGGGAAACAACCCAGACCGCCAGCUAAGGUCCCAAAGUCAUGGUUAAGUGGGAAACGAUGUGGGAAGGCCCAGACAGCCAGGAUGUUGGCUUAGAAGCAGCCAUCAUUUAAAGAAAGCGUAAUAGCUCACUGGUCGAGUCGGCCUGCGCGGAAGAUGUAACGGGGCUAAACCAUGCACCGAAGCUGCGGCAGCGACACUAUGUGUUGUUGGGUAGGGGAGCGUUCUGUAAGCCUGCGAAGGUGUACUGUGAGGUAUGCUGGAGGUAUCAGAAGUGCGAAUGCUGACAUAAGUAACGAUAAAGCGGGUGAAAAGCCCGCUCGCCGGAAGACCAAGGGUUCCUGUCCAACGUUAAUCGGGGCAGGGUGAGUCGACCCCUAAGGCGAGGCCGAAAGGCGUAGUCGAUGGGAAACAGGUUAAUAUUCCUGUACUUGGUGUUACUGCGAAGGGGGGACGGAGAAGGCUAUGUUGGCCGGGCGACGGUUGUCCCGGUUUAAGCGUGUAGGCUGGUUUUCCAGGCAAAUCCGGAAAAUCAAGGCUGAGGCGUGAUGACGAGGCACUACGGUGCUGAAGCAACAAAUGCCCUGCUUCCAGGAAAAGCCUCUAAGCAUCAGGUAACAUCAAAUCGUACCCCAAACCGACACAGGUGGUCAGGUAGAGAAUACCAAGGCGCUUGAGAGAACUCGGGUGAAGGAACUAGGCAAAAUGGUGCCGUAACUUCGGGAGAAGGCACGCUGAUAUGUAGGUGAAGCGACUUGCUCGUGGAGCUGAAAUCAGUCGAAGAUACCAGCUGGCUGCAACUGUUUAUUAAAAACACAGCACUGUGCAAACACGAAAGUGGACGUAUACGGUGUGACGCCUGCCCGGUGCCGGAAGGUUAAUUGAUGGGGUUAGCGGUAACGCGAAGCUCUUGAUCGAAGCCCCGGUAAACGGCGGCCGUAACUAUAACGGUCCUAAGGUAGCGAAAUUCCUUGUCGGGUAAGUUCCGACCUGCACGAAUGGCGUAAUGAUGGCCAGGCUGUCUCCACCCGAGACUCAGUGAAAUUGAACUCGCUGUGAAGAUGCAGUGUACCCGCGGCAAGACGGAAAGACCCCGUGAACCUUUACUAUAGCUUGACACUGAACAUUGAGCCUUGAUGUGUAGGAUAGGUGGGAGGCUUUGAAGUGUGGACGCCAGUCUGCAUGGAGCCGACCUUGAAAUACCACCCUUUAAUGUUUGAUGUUCUAACGUUGGCCCCUGAUCGGGGUUGCGGACAGUGUCUGGUGGGUAGUUUGACUGGGGCGGUCUCCUCCUAAAGAGUAACGGAGGAGCACGAAGGUUGGCUAAUCCUGGUCGGACAUCAGGAGGUUAGUGCAAUGGCAUAAGCCAGCUUGACUGCGAGCGUGACGGCGCGAGCAGGUGCGAAAGCAGGUCAUAGUGAUCCGGUGGUUCUGAAUGGAAGGGCCAUCGCUCAACGGAUAAAAGGUACUCCGGGGAUAACAGGCUGAUACCGCCCAAGAGUUCAUAUCGACGGCGGUGUUUGGCACCUCGAUGUCGGCUCAUCACAUCCUGGGGCUGAAGUAGGUCCCAAGGGUAUGGCUGUUCGCCAUUUAAAGUGGUACGCGAGCUGGGUUUAGAACGUCGUGAGACAGUUCGGUCCCUAUCUGCCGUGGGCGCUGGAGAACUGAGGGGGGCUGCUCCUAGUACGAGAGGACCGGAGUGGACGCAUCACUGGUGUUCGGGUUGUCAUGCCAAUGGCACUGCCCGGUAGCUAAAUGCGGAAGAGAUAAGUGCUGAAAGCAUCUAAGCACGAAACUUGCCCCGAGAUGAGUUCUCCCUGACUCCUUGAGAGUCCUGAAGGAACGUUGAAGACGACGACGUUGAUAGGCCGGGUGUGUAAGCGCAGCGAUGCGUUGAGCUAACCGGUACUAAUGAACCGUGAGGCUUAACCUU
rnacentral:rRNA from 1 species